ACAGCAAGAAGGAAAGUGAUGUUUAAAAGUAGGCUGCGUAUAGCAAGACGAGAUGCAGAAGAAGCUGACGAGAGAGUUUCGGAAGUCCUACAAUGCUGCAGAGACUACAACAGGACUAGACGACAACGCUACUCGAAGUUACGUCGCCGCAGACCAUGUGAAACUUGCGAAAUCCAUGGUGCUGACAUGCUGUGCUCUGCGAGAGUCAUGGAGAGGACUAUGAUGAUGGGUGGAAUGCACCAGCAGCAGCAGAGCCUGGGGUAGCAGUGGCUCAAGGUGCAGAGGAGGAGGGCACUGACAUCAGAGAGGGUUUGAUGCGCUACCUGAAUACCUAAAUAUGCAUUGUAUUGUAUUCAUUGUAUUGAACAUAAAUACAUCUUUUUUUUUCAUA